UCCGUAGGGUGCAAGCGUUGUCCGGAAUUAUUGGGCGUAAAGAGCUCGUAGGUGGCCUGUCGCGUCGGCUGUGAAAACUCGGGGCUCAACUCCGAGCUUGCAGUCGAUACGGGCAGGCUAGAGUUCGGCAGGGGAGACUGGAAUUCCUGGUGUAGCGGUGAAAUGCGCAGAUAUCAGGAGGAACACCGGUGGCGAAGGCGGGUCGCUGGGCCGAUACUGACACUGAGGAGCGAAAGCGUGGGGAGCGAACAGG
rnacentral:rRNA from 1 species